rnacentral:rRNA from 1 species
GACGAACGCUGGCGGCGUGCUUAACACAUGCAAGUCGAACGGAAAGGCCCUGCUUUUGUGGGGUGCUCGAGUGGCGAACGGGUGAGUAACACGUGAGUAACCUGCCCUUGGCUUUGGGAUAACUUCAGGAAACUGGGGCUAAUACCGGAUAGGAGCUCCUGCUGCAUGGUGGGGGUUGGAAAGUUUCGGCGGUUGGGGAUGGACUCGCGGCUUAUCAGCUUGUUGGUGGGGUAGUGGCUUACCAAGGCUUUGACGGGUAGCCGGCCUGAGAGGGUGACCGGCCACAUUGGGACUGAGAUACGGCCCAGACUCCUACGGGAGGCAGCAGUGGGGAAUAUUGCACAAUGGGCGGAAGCCUGAUGCAGCAACGCCGCGUGCGGGAUGACGGCCUUCGGGUUGUAAACCGCUUUCGCCUGUGACGAAGCGUGAGUGACGGUAAUGGGUAAAGAAGCACCGGCUAACUACGUGC